rnacentral:rRNA from 1 species
GACGAACGCUGGCGGCGCGCCUAACACAUGCAAGUCGAACGAGCGAGAGAGAGCUUGCUUUCUCGAGCGAGUGGCGAACGGGUGAGUAACGCGUGAGGAACCUGCCUCAAAGAGGGGGACAACAGUUGGAAACGACGGCUAAUACCGCAUAAGCCCACGGUGCCGCAUGGCACAGAGGGAAAAGGAGCAAUCCGCUUUGAGAUGGCCUCGCGUCCGAUUAGCUAGUUGGGGAGGUAAUGGCCCACCAAGGCGACGAUCGGUAGCCGGACUGAGAGGUUGAACGGCCACAUUGGGACUGAGACACGGCCCAGACUCCUACGGGAGGCAGCAGUGGGGAAUAUUGCACAAUGGGGGAAAACCUGAUGCAGCGACGCCGCGUGGAGGAAGAAGGUCUUCGGAUUGUAGACUCCUGUUGUUGGGGAAGAUAAUGACGGUACCCAACAAGGAAGUGACGGCUAACUACGUG